AUUGAACGCUGGCGGCAGGCUUAACACAUGCAAGUCGAGCGGUAGCACAGGGGAGCUUGCUCCCUGGGUGACGAGCGGCGGACGGGUGAGUAAUGUCUGGGAAACUGCCUGAUGGAGGGGGAUAACUACUGGAAACGGUAGCUAAUACCGCAUAAUGUCGCAAGACCAAAGUGGGGGACCUUCGGGCCUCACACCAUCGGAUGUGCCGAGAUGGGAUUAGCUAGUAGGUGGGGUAAUGGCUCACCUAGGCGACGAUCCCUAGCUGGUCUGAGAGGAUGACCAGCCACACUGGGACUGAGACACGGUCCAGACUCCUACGGGAGGCAGCAGUGGGGAAUAUUGCACAAUGGGCGCAAGCCUGAUGCAGCCAUGCCGCGUGUGUGAAGAAGGCCUUAGGGUUGUAAAGCACUUUCAGCGAGGAGGAAGGGUGGUGUGUUAAUAGCGCAUCACAUUGACGUUACUCGCAGAAGAAGCACCGGCUAACUCCGUGCCAGCCGCCGCCGUAA
rnacentral:rRNA from 1 species